rnacentral:sRNA from 1 species
CUUUGGCGACCGCGUUAGGGAUAGAAGCGGUAUCUUUUUUGAUUUUCUCUCGACUGCGCUCGAGAUGACAUCAAAAAAAUAUAGCGGAUAGCCCGACCCUUU